GCACUGAUAUCACAGGACAUGGUAGGUAGGUCCAGGGUGCACUGAUAUCACAGAUUAUGGUAGGUAGGUCCAGGGUGUACUGAUAUCACAGAUUAUGGUAGGUAGGUCCCGGGUGCACUGAUAUCACAGAUUAUGGUAGGUAGGUCCCGGGUGCACUGAUAUCACAGAUUAUGGUAGGUAGGUCCCGGGUGCACUGAUAUAACAGAACACGGUAUUAGGGUGCC